UGGAAAUCUGGAAGUCAUGAGUUCGAUUCCCUUAGUCUCC
rnacentral:tRNA from 1 species